rnacentral:rRNA from 1 species
ACCUGCCCAUUGAGAUUUAAAAGGCCGCGGUAUUAUGACCGUGCUAAGGUAGCAUAAUCAUUAGUCUUUUAAUUGGAGGCUGGAAUGAAUGGUCGGACAAGAGAUAAGCUGUCUUAAGUAAAAAUAUUGAAUUUAACUUUUAAGUGAAAAGGCUUAAAUUUUCUAGGGGGACGAUAAGACCCUAUAAAACUUUAUAUUUUGAAAUAAUAAUUAAUUUUAUAUGGGAGUUUUAUUUUUAAAUAUUUUAUUGGGGUGAUAGGGAUAAAAUAACAAAUAACUGUCUUUUUUUUAUUACAAUAAUAUUUGAGCAAAUGAACCUAGUAAGGGAAAGAAGAUUAAGUUACUUUAGGGAUAACAGCGUAAUUUUUUUUAAGAGUUCUUAUCGACAAGAAAGUUUGCGACCUCGAUGUUGAAUUAAAAGUUCUUUAUAGAGCAGAAACUAUAAAAGAAGGUCUGUUCGACCUUUAAAAUUUUAC